rnacentral:rRNA from 1 species
AACGAACGCUGGCGGCAGGCCUAACACAUGCAAGUCGAGCGCCCGUAGCAAUACGGGAGCGGCAGACGGGUGAGUAACACGUGGGAACGUGCCCAAAGGUACGGAACAACUCCGGGAAACUGGGAGCUAAUACCGUAUGUGCCCGAAAGGGGAAAGAUUUAUCGCCUUUGGAUCGGCCCGCGUCUGAUUAGCUAGUUGGUGAGGUAAUGGCUCACCAAGGCGACGAUCAGUAGCUGGCUGAGAGGAUGAUCAGCCACACUGGGACUGAGGACACGGCCCAGACUCCUACGGGAGGCAGCA